GCCCGAGUGGCGGAAUUGGUAGACGCACAGGACUUAAAAUCCUGAGGUGGGAAACUGCCGUGCCGGUUCGAGUCCGGCCUUGGGCACCA
rnacentral:tRNA from 1 species